GGCCGUUUGGUCUAGUCGUAUGAUUCCUGCUUUGUAAGAAACACCAGCAUCGCUUUCACAUAAUUUCGUCUAACAGUACCAGGGGUAUCUAUCUUGAAUGCAGGAGGUCCAGGGUUCAAUUCCCUGAACGGCCC
rnacentral:tRNA from 1 species